rnacentral:rRNA from 1 species
GACGAACGCUGGCGGCGUGCUUAACACAUGCAAGUCGAACGGAAAGGCCUGCUUUCCCUUGUGGAUUGCGGGUACUCGCGUGGCGAACGGGUGAGUAACACGUGAGUGAUCUGCCCCCAACUUGGGAAUAAGCCUGGGAAACUGCGUCUAAUUCCCGAUAGGACUGCAGGGUGGUGCCUGUGGUGGAAAACGAUUUUCUGGUGGUUGGGGAUGAGCUCGCGGCCUAUCAGCUUGUUGGUGGGGUAAUGGCCUACCAAGGCGGCGACGGGUAGCCGGCCUGAGAGGGUGAACGGCCACAUUGGGACUGAGACACGGCCCAGACUCCUACGGGAGGCAGCAGUGGGGAAUAUUGGACAAUGGGCGGAAGCCUGAUCCAGCAACGCCGCGUGAGGGAUGACGGCCUUCGGGUUGUAAACCUCUUUCAGUACCGACGAAGCGCAAGUGACGGUAGGUACAGAAGAAGCACCGGCCAACUACGUG